UGAUGACAUGUGGAGAACUGCAGCUUCUGACUGAUUCAGUGUGUUUGCAUAUGUGUGCUGCCUCUCUGCUUCCAGCAGUUAAAGCUCAGUGUUGAUCAGUGGCCGUCCAGACCUUUCAGAGACACUGACUCGCCCGCAGCACAAUGAUGAUGUCACUGACUCUGCUGCUCUUCACCCUGGAGCUCCUCGUUCAGGCUUCAUCAGAAGAAAUCCUCAUCACUCAGACUCCUGGAGCUCAGUCUGUUGUUGAAGGACAGACUGUGUCCAUCAGAUGUAAAUCCAGCAAACUCAUUGGUGAUGACAUUAACUGGUAUCUUCAGAAACCUGGAGAAGCUCCUAAACUCCUGAUAGCUGAUACUACAGAACGUCAGUCUGGUGUUCCAGAUCGUUUCAGUGCAACUGCAGUUCAGACUGAUUUCACUCUGACCAUCAGCAGAGUUCAGCCUGAAGAUUCAGGAGUUUAUUACUGUCAGCAGCACAACAGCUUCCCGUUCACACAGUGAAAAACAGUCGUACAAAAACCU